UACUGACACUGAGGAACGAAAGCAUGGGUAGCGAAGAGGAUUAGAUACCCUCGUAGUCCAUGCCGUAAACGAUGUGUGUUAGACGUUGGAAAUUUAUUUUCAGUGUCGCAGCGAAAGCAUUAAACACACCGCCUGGGGAGUACGACCGCAAGGUUAAAACUCAAAUGAAUUGACGGGGACCCGCACAAGUAGUGGAGCAUGUGGUUUAAUUCGAAGAUACGCGCAGAACCUUACCAACACUUGACAUGUUCGUCGCGACUUUAAGAGAUUAAAGUUUUCGGUUCGGCCGGACGAAACACAGGUGCUGCAUGGCUGUCGUCAGCUCGUGUCGUGAGAUGUUGGGUUAAGUCCCGCAACGAGCGCAACCCUCACUUUUAGUUGCCAUCAUUAAGUUGGGCACUCUGAAAGAACUGCCAGUGAUAAGCUGGAGGAAGGUGGGGAUGACGUCAAGUCCUCAUGGCCCUUACGUGUUGGGCUACACACGUGCUACAAUGGCAUUUACAAUAGGAAGCAAGAUGGCGACGUCAAGCAAAUCCUAAAAAGAUGCCUCAGUUCGGAUUGUACUCUGCAACUCGAGUACAUGAAGCUGGAAUUACUAGUAAUCGCGGAUCAGCGCGCCGCGGUGAAUACGUUCCCGGGUCUUGUACACACCGCCCGUCACACCAUGGGAGUUGGUUCUACCUUAAGGCAAGGUUUAAAACCCUUGACCACGGUAUAGUC
rnacentral:rRNA from 1 species